GACGAACGCUGGCGGCGUGCUUAACACAUGCAAGUCGAACGGAAAGGCCCUGCUUUUGUGGGGUGCUCGAGUGGCGAACGGGUGAGUAACACGUGAGUAACCUGCCCUUGACUUUGGGAUAACUUCAGGAAACUGGGGCUAAUACCGGAUAGGAGCUCCUGCUGCAUGGUGGGGGUUGGAAAGUUUCGGCGGUUGGGGAUGGACUCGCGGCUUAUCAGCUUGUUGGUGGGGUAGUGGCUUACCACGGCUUUGACGGGUAGCCGGCCUGAGGGGUGGACCGGCCACGUAGGGACUGAGCGGCGCCCCAGAGCGCACGGGGAGCAAAAGGGGGGAAGUCCUCACAAGGGGCAGUAACCUUGGGGCAGCGACCCCCGGAGUGGAAACCCGCCUUUCGGUUGAAGACCGGCUUUCUCUUGUAAGCAAGCGUGUGGGCCGGUAUGGAACAGGAAGCCCCCGGCUAACUACGUC
rnacentral:rRNA from 1 species